UACGGAGGGAGCAAGCGUUGUUCGGAUUUACUGGGCGUAAAGGGCGUGUAGGCGGCCUAUCAAGUCGGGCGUGAAAUCCUCUGGCUCAACCAGAGAAUUGCACUCGAUACUGUUAGGCUUGAGUGUAGGAGAGGAAAGCGGAAUUCCUGGUGUAGCGGUGAAAUGCGUAGAUAUCAGGAAGAACACCAGUGGCGAAGGCGGCUUUCUGGCCUAUUACUGACGCUGAUGCGCGAAAGCCGGGGGAGCGAACAGG
rnacentral:rRNA from 1 species